AUGCACUCCCAUCCCCAACAGAACAGCAAGGCUGCCUGGACACCCACUGCCAUCACCCUCAGAUCUAUGCCAGGUGCAGGCCCAAGGGAGCCUGAGGAGAGCCCCUCUUGGUCCCUGAGAUGUGAUCGCCCUGCUAAAAAGGGCUGCUGUCAGGAGAUAACACAGAUUCACUCCCCUGACAUUCAGAGCACUCUGUACCUCAUGUUGGAAAACUCAGCCAACAGUCAACGGGGUGGAAAAACCACCCCCCAGCUCCUGCUGCCCGUCCAGGAGCCCAAGGUGAGGAGAUGCCCUGAGCUUAGGAGCCUUCUGGGGUCAAGGCUCCCUUGGAAGCUGAGCUCUCCCAGAGGUCGGCACCCCGCCCCCGCCCGAGGGGGUCCCCUUCCCUGCCCUGGGGCUGGUGUUCGUGCUGCCAGGCCAGCCCCGGGAGUCUGAUGAGUGAGCUGGUCACAUGACCAAUCAGGCCUUGUCACGUCGUCUCCAUUGUUUGCUGCCUAAUCCCUGGAGGGUGCUUUGCUGUUGGACUGUGGUGUGAAGCCGGUUGUGCGUACAUGGUGGUACGAGGCUUAUUGCUGGAUGUUAACAGGUGGUGCCAGGUCUUCCGUUCCUUCUUGCUGCCUGCCUGGCCAACUCACGUCCAUGCACACACCUCUGGCCUCUGACCAGCUGGCCACCUUUCAGCUGUGCUCAUGGAGACAGGGCUCCACUUGAGCUCGUACACAAUGUAUUGCACCGGGAGACCGCCCCAAUUGGGCCUCCAGAAGGCCCGGCUGCUGCACCCUGGCCACCCCAAGGGGCUUGGCUACUGAAGGUGGAUGGCCAUGUGCACCAGCAUAAGCUGUGUCCUCAGGAGGACGCACCCUCACCACUGUCCUCUGAGGCUGAUCCAUGUGGGGCACGAGUCCUGCCCUGUCCACAGGGAGGACUACACCUACUCAACUGGGCUUACACCCACAACAUUAGCACAGCCAAUUUCCUCUUCCCUCACUGGCCAUGAGGGAUCCAGGCCGCGGUGUAUGAACAAAAGCACAACAUGGCAUAUCCUUAAUCGCCCAAGACUUACCUCCCAACCACAGAGCGCGCAAGGCCCCACACCCAGCCAUCUCUUGCUCACACGGCCCUAUCCAACAUGAUGCCCUAGAAUCGUGGGACUGGCUGGCCUCCAGCAACAUGUCCACGUAGGAUUUCUUUGGACUGAGGGUGAGAAGGUUACCAUGAGUUUAGGGGAAAACUAUAUAUAUUUUUGUUCAUUUCAUAUGUGAAGAAUCCCUCAUAUUCUUUUCCAAAUAAGGACGGAAGAGAUGUUUGCCCACCAGAACCCACCAAGGCCAAGUCCGAGGCCACCUGCUAACCCUAGACCAGGUGGCAGCAUCCACACUCGUCUUCCAGGAUCCAUCUGGCUCUGUGGGAGCCAAGCAGUGAGCUAAAGAGAAGGGGGAUGGCUCCAUCCAUUUAUCCUCCUCAGGUCUUCCUGAUGGCACCAUUUCCACCACUCCUCUGACAUGUCAUGCUUCACUUGCUGGCUCAGUGGGGCAGGGCUGUUUCUGAGGCCUCUGUGUAGCCUUCUGCACAUCCAUGUCCUGUGGGUCAGUUGGCCAGGCUCCAUUUAUGACCUGCAGCCCAGCGCUGCUCCCCACUUAGGUCAGCUCAGACCCAGGGACUUCACAAUAUUUGGGGAUCACCUUUUCGUAGAGUCCCAGAGCAGUCACAGGCCACUUUGGGGAGAGACUAAGUACAUCUUCUUUUUUGGGGAAUUGGCCCCUUGGUAACUCACAGCUUAAGUCUGGAACCUGGACAAGGAUUGAGAUUUUUCACUGGGGGCCACUUCUGAGAGGCCUCUGGCUAUAUCCCAGACUUCCUCAGGUGGUAGAGAUUGACCAGAGCCCUGGAUGCCCACCUACUGUGGGACACUGAUCCAGGACCCCCCUCGGAUCCCCUCUGACUCCCCCGGGCAGGAACAAGCCCUCCAGCCUCGCUGUCUUUACGACCAUUGCACCCACCUGCCCGAUGUUCACUUGCUGCCACCGGAUCCUGUUGUUCCCGGCCCUGUAAUGCCACGGCUGUCCAAGAGCCUGGCUCCUCAGUGGGCUGUCCUACUGUCAGCCAGGGAGCCACUACUGGCCUGUUGUGUGGCCCUGGGGGCCUGCCCCCAGGGUAGACAUCUGGCUUCAGCGAGGGCUGUGUCCCCCCAUGGAACACAGCCCCACAGGGGGUUACCUUGCCUUAAGCAGUGCCCACACUGACACAGGCAGCUCUCUGAGCCUCCUUCCACUGUCUGCACAGUGGUUCUGGCAUCUUCACUGUGUGUGGCCAUCACUUCUUAGAGCUGGCCUAGUGGUGAUCACAGGUGCAGAGAUCUGUAUCUGAAUGCUUCCAAGUCCUGUGCCAAAGAUAUGUUUGCUUUCUCUUCCUUACAUCUGAUUGUUUACAUUUGUUUCUGUUUACGUUGUUAAAUAGUGAAUACAUAAGAAUAUAAUGUGUGUAAGGUUAUAAGCCGUAAAACGAGCACACAAAUAUCUAUUUCCAGUUUAUUUCUGCAUUUGCUUUGAAGAAUCUUAUAUGCUAAAAAAAAAGAAUCUUACAUGCUAUCUACCCUUCUCUCCCAUACUCAACAUUCUGAAUUAUUUUCCUUGCUUAUUGAUGUUAUCAAUAUGUUAAUAAUAUAUUGAUAUAUUAUGUGAGGGGUGUGGGGGAACGUGGCUUCUGCUUUGUUAGGGAUGACGAGGUGGGGAUGGGGAGGGCACUUCAGGAUCAUGGUGUCGAGGGAAAAAACAAGUCACAGACUAACAUAGUGUGAUUUCAUUCUGUAGAGUUUUUUUUUUUUUUUUUAAAGAUUUUAUUUAUUCAUGAGAUACAGAGAGAUAGAGAGAGGCAGAGACACAGGCAGAGGGAGAAGCAGGCUCCAUGCAGGGAACCCUAUGCGGGAUUUGAUCCUGGUUCUCCAGGAUAAUGCUCUGAGCCGAAGGCAGCGCUAAACUGUUGAGCCACCCAGGCUGCCCAUCAUUCUGGAGAGUUUGCCUUGCCCACUACUUCCACCAGCUGUUGCCCACUACUUCCUACUUCUGGAGAGUUUGCCUUGCCCACUACUUCCACCUGCCUUGCCCACUACUUCCACCAGCUGUUGUAGACACUGAUGCUCUGAGCGUCCUCAUGCAUUCACAGGAUUCCUCUAGGAUUUAUACUUAGAUUAGGAUUUUAUCAACUGUUUUGGCCGGAGAGAAAUUAUUUUUUCACAAAUUGGAUUAUUUCUCCCAUCAAGACGGACACAAGGUAAAAGAGAAAACCUGACUAUUCCGAAAACUCAUAUAUAUACUUAAAAAGCUAAUUAAAUGUUUAAUUAAAGACAGAAAACACCAAGCUCUUCCCACACAGAAAACACCAAGUUCAGACAGACUUAACUGAGUAUUAUAACAAAUCCAAGGAACUAUUUCUAAUCUUACACAAACUCUUCCAGGAAUCCAGAAAGACAGAGCAUUCCUCAAUUCAUUUCUUUUCUUUUUUAAAGAUUUUGUUAAAAUCUUGGGCCCAACAUGGGGCCCAAACUCACAAUCCCAAAAUUAAGAGUGGCAUGCUUCACCAAUGGGGCCAGCCAGGAGCCCCUCAGUUCAUUUCUUAAUACUAAAAUAAACACGAGCAAGGGCAAAAAAGAAAGAAUAAA
rnacentral:lncRNA from 1 species